GCAAAUAAAUUAAUGUGAUGACUUAAAAAUUCUUCAGUCGACUUUAGAUUGCUCAUUUAAUCAUAAAAACUUAAUUAAAAAUAAUAUCAACAGUACAUUUACUUUAAUAAUUUAUUUAUCAUUUUUUUUUUUUGUUUAUGUUUAGUUGAUUUAAAAUUAAGAAACUUACUUACGGAGUUAAAAAAUGGAGAAGGAUGUACUGAAUCAUUAUGUUCAUAAUCGCGGCCGAAGUCAAUCAUUAAGUGGACCAUGUAAAGAGCCACUUCUGCCAUCAAGUAAAAGAAAUUCAUACAGGAUGACACCAACCGGUGGAAGAUCGCGUACCGUCUCGGAGACAAACGCAACUUCGGUAUCAAUACCAUUGACAGCAGCUGAUGAUUGUUACGAAAUAACAAUUUUAGAUGAAACAAAUGCAGAAGGCGGACGUUUACCGGACGUUGUGGCUGAAAGUAGAUUUUGUGAUGAUAAUUCUGAACCAACUGAAUCUUAUCUUGCCAUUACAAUUCAAGUUUUCAUUCCGUUCCUCGUUGCGGGUCUCGGUAUGGUUGGAGCUGGUCUUGUUCUCGAUCUUGUUCAACAUUGGGAAGUAUUUGAAAAAGUUAAUGAACUUAUGAUCUUGGUACCUGCAUUGCUAGGAUUAAAAGGAAAUUUAGAAAUGACUCUUGCCUCGCGACUUUCUACUCAAGCUAAUCUCGGUCAUAUGGAUGCACCUAAACAACAAUGGUAUAUGAUUGUUGGAAAUUUAGUUUUAAUUCAGUGUCAAGCAAUAGUGGUCGGUUUUUUAGGAUCAGUAGUAGCAAUACUAAUGGGAGCACUUAAGAAUGGAACAGUUUCAUUAGAUCAUACAUAUCUUUUAUGUGCCAGCAGUUUAGUAACCGCAUCUUUAGCAUCCUUUGUCCUCGGGUUAAUAACUGCCGGUGUAAUUGUAUUUUCACGUCACUGUCAUAUUAAUCCUGACAAUGUAGCAACGCCAAUAGCUGCAAGUCUCGGCGACAUAACAUCAUUAGCAUUAUUAUCAUGGAUUUCAACAAUUCUAUACGAAUCAAUUGAUAAACAAGACUGGUUAGCACCACUGGUAAUUGCGUGUUACAUUCUCGUAACACCACUCUGGGUAUGGAUAGCUAAACGUAAUAAAUACACCAAUGAUGUGCUCUAUUCCGGCUGGACACCAGUAAUGGUAGCAAUGCUUAUCAGCAGUUGUGGUGGUUUAAUUCUUGACUUCAUGGUGUCACGUUUUGAAACACUUACUGUAUUUCAACCGGUUAUAAAUGGUGUUGGUGGUAAUUUAGUUGCUGUACAAGCAUCGAGAAUAUCAACAGCAUUGCACAAACAAGCUGAUCUUGGUACACUAUUAAUACCACCUGGACAUACUCAUCCAGUAAUAUUUAUAACGCCAAUAGCUAAUUUUUUUGGAAAAGGACAUCAUUCAAGAACAACACGUGUACUAAUGGCAAUGGUUAUACCUGGUCAUAUUAUAUUUAUUUAUAUGAUUAAAUAUAUGAAAGACGGUGAUACAGCAUUAACACCGUUGUUUGUAUUUGUUUAUUUGUGCGCAGCAAUGUUACAAGUUGCAGCAUUACUGUAUAUUGCUUAUAUUAUGAUACACUGGAUGUGGAAAAGAAAAAUAGAUCCAGAUAAUUCGGCUAUACCAUAUUUGACAGCCAUGGGAGAUCUUUUAGGUAUCAGUUUAUUAGCAAUAGCUUUUCAAUUUUUGUAUCUCGUUGGCGAUCAAGACUACGAUGGUGCCAUUUAAAGCAUUAAUGUCACCACAAUCUCACGCUAUUUUAUUUUGAUAUUUAUUUAUUGAAAUUUAAAUAUACACAAACAAAAAGAUCUAUCAACUUUGAGCUUCGAUGUCACAUAAAUGGUUGGAUUUACAAAAAAAGUGUAAGAAACCUUUUUUGGAGAGCGAUAAAUUUCCUACAAGAAAAUUUAAAAGCGCUCAAUUUUAUGUCCGGGUGUUGGAGAGUUAUUAAAUUUUAAACAAAAAUGAAUAAACUUUUGUAUUUUUUUUUUAUUGUUUUUGGAUCACAAAUAAAUGAUUUUUAUCAUGGUCAAGUAAAAAAAUCUAAUUUGGUAAAUAACGGACACCCUAAUAUAGAUAAACUGUAGAAAAUUUACAGAUUAAAUCCGGAGUUAUUUUUUUAUUUAUUUAAUCACCUUGGAGUAAAAUGAAUUCCGAAAGAAAAUUUAUUUUAAUAAAAAAACUCCAGAUCGGAGUGGAUGCGGAUUGAAAUAAAAUUCACGUCACUCCGAAAUCACUCCAAUGAAAAAAAAAAAAAUCACAAUUUACUCCGCACGCGGAACAAUUUAUUUUUUAUAAUCUGAAACUCUGAGUGAAUUUGAAUUAAAAUAAUAUUCAUAUUUACUCCGAGUGUGCUCGGAAGAAAAUGUAAAAAAUUAAUUUUGUGCAAAAUGGAUUUUGAAACUUUCUCUACUGAUCAUGCUAACAUUAAGUAUUAUUCAGUAAUAUGAAUGAAGUGCUUGAAAGAUUCAUUUUUGACGCGUUUAAAAUGAUAGAAAUUUUUUACCCAAAAAAUAUUUUAAAACCAACUUGUAUUUUUAUUUAAUCAUUAAGAGCACUACUGAUCUCAAUAUUUAAGAGCCCACGAGUGAAAAAAAUGUGAUUUAAAUUUUAUUAACUUUUUUUUUGCCGGAAUAAAUAAAACAUUUCGGUUCAUCAUACUUUAUACAGCUCGGUAUGCUCUCGAUUCUAUUUAACGUCAACGUUAACUCCGUAUUCCAAUCCUUCAGUAAAUAAAAAUCUUUUAUGAUGUAAAUAUUUAAGUAAUAAAUAUUAAAAUUAUUUUUAUAACUUUGUUAGUUAAAAAAUUGAUGCUGUUAGUUUUAUAUUGACAAUAAUUGAGAUUACAUUUGUUUAUUAUUAACUGAUAAUAUUUUGGCUGAAACCCCUCAACUUAUAACACUGUUUUUAAAUAAAAAAUAAUAGAGAUUAAUAAUAAAAAUAUUAAUAAAUAAACUCUUUAAAAAUAAUUGUAUAAAUAAACAUCAAAAUAAGAUCACUAAAAUUAUUAAAUACAAACAUUAAAAACAAAGUGGAUUAAUUCGAAGUUGAUACAAAAAUAGUAUGCCUUCGAGUAGUUGCCUUCAUAAAGAACUUACGUAAUGAAAAUAAAUAAUAAAAAGGCCUUUCGUUUAUGUCAAAGCUUAGAUCGCAUGUUUUCUAGUGUGAGUGUUGACUAAUAUUAAUUGUCAAUUAAUUCAUUAAUAAUUAAAUCACUGAAUGAUUGAAAUUUAAUAAUUUCUAAUUAAAAUGCUUUUAGGUAAAUUUUUAAUAACGAAGUAAAAUUUAGUAAAAUUGUUUUAGACGAAAAUUAAUAAUAA